UACGAAGGGGGGCUAGCGUUGCUCGGAAUCACUGGGCGUAAAGCGCACGUAGGCGGAUUGCUAAGUCAGGGGUGAAAUCCUGGAGCUCAACUCCAGAACUGCCUUUGAUACUGGCGAUCUCGAGUCCGGGAGAGGUGAGUGGAACUGCGAGUGUAGAGGUGAAAUUCGUAGAUAUUCGCAAGAACACCAGUGGGCGAAGGCGGCUCACUGGCCCGGUACUGACGCUGAGGUGCGAAAGCGUGGGGAGCAAACAGGG
rnacentral:rRNA from 1 species